UACAGAGGUCUCAAGCGUUGUUCGGAUUCAUUGGGCGUAAAGGGUGCGUAGGCGGCGCGGUAAGUCGGGUGUGAAAUCUCGGAGCUUAACUCCGAAACUGCAUUCGAUACUGCCGUGCUUGAGGACUGGAGAGGAGACUGGAAUUUACGGUGUAGCGGUGAAAUGCGUAGAUAUCGUAAGGAAGACCAGUGGCGAAAGCGGGUCUCUGGACAGUUCCUGACGCUGAGGCACGAAGGCCAGGGGAGCAAACGGG
rnacentral:rRNA from 1 species